ensembl:miRNA
UGCUCUUCGAGCUGCUCUUUGGUACUUGAAGAGAGGAUACCCUUUGUAUGUUCACUUGAUUAAUGGUGAAUAUACAGGGGGAGACUCUUAUUUGCGUAUCAAACUCUGUCGGGGGAGACGCUCGGA